CGCCCUCGCUGUACAUCAAGGUCACCGAGAGCGGAAGCGAGAGAGAGGGAACUAACCUCAGCUGCCGCGCUAAAGGGCAAGCGAGAGCUCAACGAAGGACAACAGAGAGAGAAACAGAGCGGAUAAAAGUAAGAGUGGGAGAACGGCCUGCCAGGGGUGGUAUUCAGCCAUAGCAGCGGGGCGGUGAACGGAUGGACGCCUGUCGAGAUGGAGGGAACGCGUCGAUUAGAUUCCUCACGGCUCGGCAGGGGGAACAGUUAGGGGAUGGAGCACAGCUAAUGAACCCGCAAAGCUUUUAAAUUUGAAUCCGGUCUGCGUCCGUGAACACGGCUGGAGUGUGGUGAACGAUCAGGGACUGACGGUACUCUGCAGGAAGGAUGGCAGGAGUUAAAGGUCGUUUGCGGGAAGAGUUCGGCGGAGCCUCUGGAGAUCCUGAUCCGCUGUCUGACGGGGAUGAAACCUGGUACCUGAAUGACAAAGACGGGAGAGGGAGCUCGCUGAGUUCAGAAACAGAUCUUCAGCCUCAUGUGACACCUGAAGCACUUGCGUCACACCGUCACCUGUUUUCUACCUCCCGCAGGUGAAAAGAGCAAGAAACCAGACGGAGUGACGGAGAGCGAGAGUGAUGGAAAGAUGCUGAGCGUUGCAGAAGAUGUCGGAGACAGAGAGAGAGGCACUUUGAGAUGAGUUUCUUCCUUCUCUAUUGGCCAGCCCACAGGUAUCAUUACAGGCUUCAUGAAGAUAAUAUUCCUAACACUCAAUACCCCGUGCCAGAGAAAGCCCCUCACGCAAAAUCCAUUAUCCAGACAUCUUAGAUAAUGGGAUUCUUCUUCUCCCUGCUCGGCUCGCAGGCCUGCAGAGUGGCCGUAAUAGACUUAUAAUCAGUUUUUAUCAUUAUCGUCUUUCCCAGCGCUUGAAUGUCUCCACUCGCCCUCCACCCAGCGGUGCUCUAGAGGAAGCAGCCGAGCGCUGCGCGCGGGGUCACGCUACACGUGUUAGCAUCUGGUUCAGAGAGCAGAGGUUCAGAUGAAGUCCAGACACGGCCGGACGACUCUGUAAAGUCCAGAGAGUCUGUUGUGCGGUGCCAGGAUUCUGUCAUACUCGCUCUGUGUCUGAACCAGAGAGAGAGAGAGAGAGAGAGACACUUACAUCUGUUCAACAGCCUAAUGGAGUGAGAGAGAGCCAUUUCCUCAUGACUGCUGGACUCCCUGACACUUUUAUUCAGAAACACAGUGUUAAAUAGACCUGCAUAAUACAUCCAAAUGAUUGAAAUAUGAAGAGCAUGUGUGCUCCAAACGUCACACUUUUUGUGAAAGUCGAUUCAAACUUUUGAGAUUUUUGGUGUGCCGAAUGUAUAAAAAAAGUAUACAUUUUUCAUUUGAUUUGUUUUUGUUGAGCAUCCUUUUCAGGUUGAUGUGUGUGCUUUUGCUGUGUUUUUGCUGAUGAUUGAAAUAUCACAAAAGUUUGUCAGAUUUGGUUUCAAGUACUGCAACAGUAAAACAUGAUUGUUUGUUUAUGAUGGCCAUGUGCUCUCCUGUCUCUACUCUUGACCCCGCCCCCUCGUUUCCUUGUUUAGCUUCCCGCCAGUGUUUCAUUCCCCACACCUGCCCAGUGUAAUUAUCCCUUGUUAGUUCCCCUAUUUAAUGCCCUUGUGUUUGCUGUCCUGUGCUGUUUUGUUUUGUUUGCUUUACCUUGCCUUGCCUAACCUAGCAGACAUACUUACCUCGUGUCCUAGUUUUGAAUCCAUCUUGUCAAGUCUAGUUCCUGUAAAGUGUUUAGUUUAGUUUUCCUGGUUCUCUAGUUUUUGCCUCCUCGUGGGAAGUCUUUGUUUUCAAGUUUAUCUUUGUGCAGUUCUCGUUUU